rnacentral:SRP_RNA from 1 species
UGCCGGGACCUACGCGACGUAAUCCCGCGAACCCCGCCAGGUCCGGAAGGAAGCAACGGUAGCGGGCCAGUACGUGCGCAGUAGGCUCCCCGGUACUC